ensembl:lncRNA
GGAAGUUUUUCCCCCAGAGGGUGGUGAUGCACUGAACAGGUUGCCCAAGGAGGCUGUGGAUGCCCCAUCCCUGCAGGCAUUCAAGGCCAGGCUGGAUGUGGCUCUGGGCAGCCUGGUCUGCUGGUUGGCGACCCUGCACAUAGCAGGGGGUUGGAAUGAGAUGAGCAUUGUGAUCCUUUUCAACCCAGGCCAUUCUAUGGUUCUGUGAUUCUAUGAUUCUAUGAAAAGGGUUUUUGUAGCAUUCAAGAAGAUGUGAAGACCAAGUGAACUUUGGGCAUGUGUCCUACAAGCACAAAACCUGAGGAAUCAUUAGAAAUUCUGUGUAUUUAGAACACACUGAGCUUGAAAAGCACUCAUUGUCUUGAAUCUAAGAGCAUCUUACUCAAAUGCAGUGCAGCCAUUUUCACCUGUUUGGUUAC